rnacentral:rRNA from 1 species
UACAGAGGUCUCAAGCGUUGUUCGGAUUCAUUGGGCGUAAAGGGUGCGUAGGUGGCGCGCUAAGUCAGGUGUGAAAUUUCGGAGCUUAACUCCGAAACUGCAUUUGAUACUGGCGUGCUUGAGGACUGGAGAGGAGACUGGAAUUCACGGUGUAGCAGUGAAAUGCGCAGAUAUCGGGAAGAACACCUGUGGCGAAGGCGGCUCUCUGGGACGGUACUGACGCUGAGACGCGAAAGCGUGGGGAGCAAACAGG